rnacentral:rRNA from 1 species
AACGCUAGCUACAGGCUUAACACAUGCAAGUCGAGGGGCAGCACGGGAGUAGCAAUACAACUGGUGGCGACCGGCGCACGGGUGAGUAACGCGUAUGCAACCUACCUAUCGGAGGGGAAUAACCCGGCGAAAGUCGGACUAAUACCGCAUAAAACAGGGGCACCGCAUGGUGAUAUUUGUUAAAGAAAUUCGCUGAUAGAUGGGCAUGCGUUCCAUUAGGUAGUUGGUGAGGUAACGGCUCACCAAGCCGACGAUGGAUAGGGGAACUGAGAGGUUGGUCCCCCACACUGGUACUGAGACACGGACCAGACUCCUACGGGAGGCAGCAGUGAGGAAUAUUGGUCAAUGGGCGAGAGCCUGAACCAGCCAAGUCGCGUGAAGGAAGAAGGAUCUAUGGUUCGUAAACUUCUUUUGCAGGGGAAUAAAGUGCAGGACGUGUCCUGUUUUGUAUGUACCCUGAGAAUAAGGAUCGGCUAACUCCGUGCCAGCAGCCGCGGUAAUACGGAGGAUCCGAGCGUUAUCCGGAUUUAUUGGGUUUAAAGGGUGCGUAGGUGGUUUGAUAAGUCAGCGGUGAAAGUUUGCAGCUUAACUGUAAAAAUGCCGUUGAAACUGUCGGACUUGAGUGUAAAUGAGGUAGGCGGAAUUCGUGGUGUAGCGGUGAAAUGCUUAGAUAUCACGAAGAACUCCGAUUG